GUUCUUCAGAGCCUCCCUGAGUAAGCGCUGCCCCCCCCCCAUAUUCUGUGGGCUUUUGUCGUCUGCGGUGGUCAUUGCAGGAGCUGCAGGUGCCUUCCUUUGGAAGGAGUGGAAAAAACGGCAGACGGGCAGGCUACAACCAGAGAGCUGACUCCUGUGUUUGAGGUAAGAGUGUCUGGACAGUUUGCAGGUCUGAGGGGAGAUGGGAAGGCCCGCUGUGGGGAAGAGGGAGCUGGUCCACAGUGAACAGUAGAAUCUGCGUGAAUUGAGUUUAAGGGAGAUCAUCUCCCCAGGGGCCCAAGCCUGAACCCUCUCUCUCCAGCCCCCCAUUCCUUCCCUUUCUUCUGCCUUCAUCUUGACAGACCUCAGAAGUCAAAAUAAGUGAUUUCCUUGCCUUUGUCCAGAGCAAGUCUCCCCUGGCCCCCGUCUGAGUUUUCCAAUCGGUUUUCAACCCUAGCGAGGGCUGGCUGGGCUGACAGCAGCAGGG
rnacentral:lncRNA from 1 species